rnacentral:rRNA from 1 species
GGACGGGUGAGUAACACGUGGGCAACCUGCCUUACAGUCUGGGAUAACCUCGGGAAACCGGGGCUAAUACCGGAUAACCAUCCAUGCCGCAUGGCAUGGACGUAAAAGAGGGGAUAUCUCUCGCUGUGAGAUGGGCCCGCGGCGCAUUAGCUAGUUGGUGAGGUAACGGCUUACCAAGGCAACGAUGCGUAGCCGACCUGAGAGGGUGAUCGGCCACACUGGAACUGAGACACGGUCCAGACUCCUACGGGAGGCAGCAGUAGGGAAUCAUCCGCAAUGGGCGCAAGCCUGACGGUGCAACGCCGCGUGAGUGAAGAAGGUUUUCGGAUCGUAAAGCUCUGUUAUUCGGGAAGAACAAGUAGCGGUCGAAGAGGCCGUUACCGUGACGGUACCGAAUCAGAAAGCCCCGGCUAACUACGUGCCAGCAGCCGCGGUAAUACGUAGGGGGCAAGCGUUGUCCGGAAUUAUUGGGCGUAAAG